rnacentral:rRNA from 1 species
GACGAACCGAGCGAACGUUGUUCGGAAUCACUGGGCUUAAAGGGCGCGUAGGCGGGCGGCCGCGUCCGGGGUGAAAUCCCACGGCUCAACCGUGGAACAGCCUCGGAUACGGGCGGCCUGGAGGCGGGUAGGGGCAGGCGGAACUGUGGGUGGAGCGGUGAAAUGCGUUGAGAUCCACAGGAACUCCGGUGGCGAAGGCGGCCUGCUGGACCCGAACUGACGCUGAGGCGCGAAAGCCAGGGGAGCGAACGGG